AGGUGCGUCUGUCUGUGCACGUGAGCGCUUGGCUCGGAGCUGCUCUGCCCGGAGGCGUGGAGUCAGGGGUGGGUGGACGGAGCUCUAGGGGUGCAUGGAAGAGGCAACGGAGGAGGCGAGCUGUGCGCCGUAAGCAGGUGCGAAGCGAAGAGGAAAGCGGGCUGUCGGCAGCUCAGCUCCUCGGGCCAGGCGGCAGCUGAGCGUCUCGGCGGUCCGCGGCGUGGCAGUCAAAAGCAAGGGCGGCCGGGUGGGCGAGCGGCCCAGGUAAGGGAGGGCGAGCUGGGACCGUCUGCGGGCAGGCUGUGUUUUCGGGCGGCAUCCGAGCGCGUGCCUCUGGUUUUGCGGGUGCCGCAGACGGGCCGGCAGGGGCGAAGCCGCACGCCGGCCGGCAGCCGAGAAGGUGAGGCGGCGGUGGGCGUUGAGGAGCCCGGUAUUGCCCGGUCUCUCGCUUCAUCUUUUCCUUCUCGCU